AACAGCCGAUUGCUGACCCGAGAUGGCCGAAUGAGGAAUCCUGAUGAGAAGCCCAUAUUUAUCGAGUCACAGGCGCCAGUGCCAGCUGCAGAACCAGAACCCAUCCCAGUAAAACUACCUGCAAAACAAGCCCAGGAAGUGCCUGCUCCCCUAGCAGAUGAAGCUCCCAAGGUUGAAGCCCGUUCGAAAGGGCCUGUGAAGUCGCUCAAGGCAAAAGCUGCUCUGGAUGCUGAUGAUGAUUACGAGGUCGAGCCUCCAAAGGAAAAGGCGAAGCCUACAACAGCUGAUGUGGCAAAGUUGAAAGAGAUCAAGAGGCAGGAGGAGAUUGAGAAGAACAAGCUUGCGUUGGAGAGGAAGAAGAGGCAAGCUGAGAAGCAGGCAGCUAAGGCGGCGGCUCGAGCACAGAAGGACGCUGAGAAGAAGCUGAAGGUACUACAUAUCUCUGUUUCUUGUUGUCUGUCUCUCACAACCAUUCGAUCUAUACUGUAACAAUGCCUCAACUAAUUCUUUCAGAAAGAGGAGAAGAAAGCCAAGAAGAAAUCCGGAGCAGCUGACACUGAUGAGCCCUCUGAAUCAGACGCCAAGUCUGAUGAAGCCACGGAAACCCAGGCUGAGGAAGUAGCAGCCCCAGCUUCGACCACAUUGAAGAAAGAACAGAAGGAGAAUGCCCGGUACAGGAAUGUGGUCAGCCGGAGCAAGGCCCCGCCACCAAAGGCUCUCCUGAAGAGGAAGAAGGCACAGUCCUACUGGUCAUGGGCCGGCCCGGCUGCUGCAGUCGCCGCUGCGGUGCUGGUCGCCCUCCUCGCUGUGCUGGGCUACUACCAGUACUACCUCCCGGCGAGCGCCAGCAACUAGAGGGUUGAGGGGAGGGCCUGUUCCACUUGCUGCCACGCCCCUGAAUGAUGUGGAGACCAAUUUUGCAGGCG
rnacentral:lncRNA from 1 species